UAUUAGCAGUCCGUUCGAUGAACUUGAGCAAAUUGAUUGAAUCAAAAUUCUACGAAUAUAAAUAGUUGCUGAAUUGAUCUUCAAAUUAACAGAUUCUUAGAAGAAUUCAACCAGUUCACAUCAAACUUCUAUUCAAAAUGAAAUCCUUCCUUAUCACACUUUUGGUAUGCUUUGCCAUCGUUCUCUCAAUGGCUGCUGCUGCUCCAUCCGAAGAAGGAAUUUUCGGUGACUUACCCGACAGCGAUAUUGCCAAUCCACAAGAGCCCAAUGAAUCACUGAAGUUGUUGCUGCUGAAGAAAUUGAAGCUUAAGCUGUUGAGAGGUUAAGCUGCUCACAGACAAUUGUUAUUAAAUGCCUUAAGUUCACAAAGAUUAUUUUUAAGUUAUUGUUACAAUAAAUUUAUUUUAUACAAAAUUGAA